rnacentral:misc_RNA from 1 species
GAUGAAGAACGUAGCGAAAUGCGAUAAUUAAUGUGAAUUGCAGAAUUCCGUGAAUCAUCGAGUCUUUGAACGCACAUUGCGCCUCAUGGCAUUCCGUGAGGCAUGCCCAUCUCAGCGUUAGAAAAUAUUCUCAAAUUUUAGUUUUGUGCUAAAAUUUGGAUCAUGUCAAGGAAGCUAUUACUAUUAUUGUGAUCGCUCUUUGGAAAUUGAUAGGUAUUUGAGUUGCUACUCAUAGAACGUGAUGAAUCUUUCUUCGUUCUAUUGUAAUUCACUCUGGUAGUCCUAAAACUUGUAUGCCUGUGGCAUAUCUUGUAAUUUGACCUGAGAUUGGGUAGGGAUACCCGCUGAACUUAAGCAUAUCAAUAAGCUGAGGA